UUAGCCAUGCUAGUCGUACGAGUUCAGACUCGUGGCGAAUAGCUCAGUAACACGUGGUCAAACUACCCUGUCGAGCGGGACACCCUCGGGAAACUGAGGCUAAUCCCGCAUACGGCUCGCUGCCUGGAGUGGCGCGAGCUCGAAACGCCCCGGCGCGACAGGAUGUGACUGCGGCCGAUUAGGUAGACGGUGGGGUAACGGCCCACCGUGCCGAUAAUCGGUACGGGUUGUGAGAGCAAGAGCCCGGAGACGGUAUCUGAGACAAGAUACCGGGCCCUACGGGGCGCAGCAGGCGCGAAACCUUUACACUGCACGCCAGUGCGAUAAGGGGACUCCCAGUGCGAGGGCAUAUCGUCCUCGCUUUUGUGUACCGUAGGGAGGUACACGAAUAAGGGCUGGGCAAGACCGGUGCCAGCCGCCGCGGUAAUACCGGCAGCCCGAGUGAUGACCGCUAUUAUUGGGCCUAAAGCGUCCGUAGCCGGCCACGCAAGUCCGUCGGGAAAUCCGCACGCCCAACGUGCGGGCGUCCGGCGGAAACUGCCUGGCUUGGGACCGGAAGACCAGAGGGGUACGUCCGGGGUAGGAGUGAAAUCCCGUAAUCCUGGACGGACCACCGGUGGCGAAAGCGCCUCUGGAAGACGGAUCCGACGGUGAGGGACGAAAGCUCGGGUCACGAACCGGAUUAGAUACCCGGGUAGUCCGAGCCGUAAACGAUGUCUGCUAGGUGUGCCACUGGCUACGAGCCAGUGGUGUGCCGUAGGGAAGCCGUGAAGCAGACCGCCUGGGAAGUACGUCCGCAAGGAUGAAACUUAAAGGAAUUGGCGGGGGAGCACUACAACCGGAGGAGCCUGCGGUUUAAUUGGACUCAACGCCGGACAUCUCACCAGCACCGACAGUAGCCGUGAAGAUCAGUGUGAUGAGCUUAUUGGAGCUACUGAGAGGANGUGCAUGGCCGCCGUCAGCUCGUACCGUGAGGCGUCCUGUUAAGUCAGGCAACGAGCGAGACCACACUCCUAAUUGC
rnacentral:rRNA from 1 species